AUGAACGCUGGCGGCGUGCCUAAUACAUGCAAGUCGAGCGAACAGAUGAGGAGCUUGCUCCUCUGACGUUAGCGGCGGACGGGUGAGUAACCCGUGGAUAACCUACCUAUAAGUCUGGGAUAACUUCGGGAAACCGGAGCUAAUACCGGAUAAUAUAUUUAACCGCAUGGUUCAAUAGUGAAAGACGGUUUUGCUGUCACUUAUAGAUGGAUCCGCGCCGCAUUAGCUAGUUGGUAAGGUAACGGCUUACCAAGGCAACGAUGCGUAGCCGACCUGAGAGGGUGAUCGGCCACACUGGAACUGAGACACGGUCCAGACUCCUACGGGAGGCAGCAGUAGGGAAUCUUCCGCAAUGGGCGAAAGCCUGACGGAGCAACGCCGCGUGAGUGAUGAAGGUCUUCGGAUCGUAAAACUCUGUUAUUAGGGAAGAACAAAUGUGUAAGUAACUAUGCACGUCUUGACGGUACCUAAUCAGAAAGCCACGGCUAACUACGUG
rnacentral:rRNA from 1 species